GCAAGCCACUCCAGAACACACCGCCCCUCCUGCCAUAGUAAGAGAAGUUACGCGAAAAAGACAGCUGGACAACCAAUCAAGAGAUGUGUUUGGAAUAGAGGUUUGGGAGUUACCCUUAAUUAGCUGGAAGGUUGACAAGUGGGGAGGACUUCAAAGAAAGAGACAACAGAACUCUGGCACACACGGGGAUACAGGAGUAGGACGAGAUGCAACAAAAACAUGCGGUGGCCACGGGACAUAGAACGUGUCGGGUUCCGUUUACACUUGACACCAAAUCUGAUUUUUUUUUGCCCUUUUGUGAUACAGAUUGGAUAUUUUUUCCCCGCCUAAACAUUUCAAAAUGCUUCACAUCGGAUAUGUUUGUAUUAGAUCUGGGCCACGUCAUGAGAUUGUCCAAAUUACAAUCAGAUUAGAGUCAAAUCUUUUCAAACGUGUCUAAACGGCAAUGUGACUUUUACGUCAUCUUUUGUUGAGCUACCUCAUUCUUUUGCGCAUAAAAAGCUGUGGCCCGCCAGCAGAAGUGGAUAUGUCAUCACAUGAUCAAAGUCUUUUUUUCAUCGGACGAAUUUUCGGUGCAUCACUCAUCAGUAGUUCGCAAAUAAUACGCUAUAUGUAUUAUAUGAAGAAACAUACAUACCGGUAUAUACUUUGAUUGCUAAGACGUUGUGAUUGUUAAAGGACCGGAAAUUAUGCUGUGGCGUAUGUGCUUACACGUUAGGGGCAUUGCGUAAGUUUUUUACAAAAUUGAAGAAAGAUAAAAAAGCAACUAACAAAGACAAGUCCUCGUCUCAGCGAUAAAAAUAUUAGAACCCUUCCAAAUAUCUUACACUUUAUACAGUAUAUCCAGUACACAGUAUGGCUACUAAAGUGGACGGCAUGACACGCGGGUCCACUCUUACCAAAGGAUUGUGACCGCUGACAGACCCGCCACCGGCAACUAACACAUGACCUUCUGACCUCUGAACUCUUACAUCAUACAAUACAUCAUAUUACUUUAA